rnacentral:rRNA from 2 species
UUUCGGAUCGUAAAACUCUGUUGUUAGAGAAGAACAAGGAUGAGAGUAACUGUUCAUCCCUUGACGGUAUCUAACCAGAAAGCCACGGCUAACUACGUGCCAGCAGCCGCGGUAAUACGUAGGUGGCAAGCGUUGUCCGGAUUUAUUUGGGCGUAAAGCGAGCGCAGGCGGUUUCCUUAAGUCUGAUGUGAAAGCCCCCGGCUCAACCGGGGAGGGUCAUUGGAAACUGGGAGACUUGAGUGCAGAAGAGGAGAGUGGAAUUCCAUGUGUAGCGGUGAAAUGCGUAGAUAUAUGGAGGAACACCAGUGGCGAAGGCGGCUCUCUGGUCUGUAACUGACGCUGAGGCUCGAAAGCGUGGGGAGCAAACAGGAUUAGAUACCCUGGUAGUCCACGCCGUAAACGAUGAGUGCUAAGUGUUGGAGGGUUUCCGCCCUUCAGUGCUGCAGCUAACGCAUUAAGCACUCCGCCUGGGGAGUACGACCGCAAGGUUGAAACUCAAAGGAAUUGACGGGGGCCCGCACAAGCGG